GUACAAUUCUCUCUUGUUGAGUGUGGGCAAAAGCUCACACUCAGUCCCAGGAUUAAGUUACUAAUCACUUGAUGUUGUCUUAAUUGAAAGGCAGAUUACCCAGACUAGUCCCUUCUGCCUUCUGGGCAGGUCACAUCUGAAAGAUUAUCCUCUUUGAAUCAGUUUGAAUGUUCUAGUGACCAGGCCACACAGUUUCUCUUGACAUUUAAAAAUAAAGCUUCCAGUCUUGUCACUAAUGGAUUUGGGGCCCAGUACCCUUAAAAUCACCUCAGAGCUGCCUGAAUCCAUAGACUACUUGCAGAAUCACUGGUUUUACUUGGAUCAAGCCAUCUGAGAAGUUUGGCUGAAAUAAAAACUCAAAGCCCCCACAAUAUUGAACCACCAUUCCAGACCCAGCCAAGGUUUGGAACAUAAAGUGAGCUGAAUGAAUCAGCCUGCAGGCAACCCAGAGAAAGUAAUUGUUCAUCCUAGCAGCACGGCUGCUUUUCUGCUUAGCAUCUGAACAAGUUAAUUUGGAAACACAGCCUUCUGGAAAGAAAUGGCGCUUCUCUCAGCAUCCCAUGGAUUCAUGAGCAGCUCCUUGAAUGCAAAUAUUGCCUGAUAUUUUCAUGGUAAGUUCUGAGCAAAUAGAUGCUGGACGAAUGAAUUACUGAAUAAGUGAGUACAUUUCUUUAUUUGCCAGGAAAGAAUUGGGCAUUGCUUGCAUAACUUCUGUCUAAGGCACAGGGGGUGGGUGCCAGUACAAAAGACAUUGUCCUGAAGAAAUUUACAUAGUAUAUCAAUAUUUUCCAUAUACUUAUACUAAUAUUUUUAAGUUUGCAUUGUUGUUUGUGUUACUUUUGUAAACCUUUUGUUUUUAUCCAGACUCAAAGCUCUUGGAGAGCGGAAACCAUGAUGAAUACUCCUUUAUUUAUUCCAUGUAACACUCCAGACAAGAGUAGGCUUUGAUUUUGUCAUAUUGAAUUCAAUUACCGGUUCAGUAGGAGAGACAAGAUAAAUUGGCAGGCAACCCAUGUGUAUCAGUAUACUCACAAAUGUGGAGUAUUAGGAUAUUAGGAUAAAAUAUGCUCAGAGUUGAGAGAAUUUAAUGAAACCCAUGAUACUUAGGUAGGACAAAUGUCUUCAGACAGAGAAAUUAAGGUUUACUAUCACAUAUGUGAACCCUGAAAGAGCCAGUCUGUAAAGCUGGAUCCUGAGUGGCUAACUGGGCCUAAAUUCAAAAUAGAGUGAAAUGACCGUUUGCUGACUAGAGGUCACACACAUAGUCUGUGUUCCUGGAGAACCCCCAUGCUCACUUAACUUUGGGAUUUGUAUAGCUGUCUGUUCCUAUUUAUGCCACCUGAAUCAACCAAUGGACAAUGACCUGCAUUGGCCAAUCAGAACUCAAGAAGCAUCAACCAAUUAGAACUAAGCAAGUUUGCAUUCUUUAUCCGCAUAAGUAAACCAAAGUGGGAAACCGGGCAGGCACUUUCCCUAUAAAAGACAGGCCCUCUCUUUGUUCUCUUGAAACAUGGCUGCAUCUCCCAGGUUUGCAAACUGUUAGCUGUAAUAAAGUCUCUUUCCCCUUUUCAAAAGAAAAUUAUUUUCAGUGGAUUCUGGUUCAACUUUCUUUAUGACGAAAUUCACCUGUGAAGUGAGGGAGAGGAUUGCAAAUAUAUGCCAAAGAUAACAAUAGGUCUGAAGGUGGCAUAUAGAAACAGUGGCAGGUAGAGACUCAAAUUCACAUAACUUAGCCAACUAAUGGACUAUCUCCUUCCUGUUUUUCUUUAACAAAUGCAAUUAAAAAAAUCACACAGGUUAGUCUUUUAACCAGUCAUGUGCCUGGUGCUGUAUCAAGAGCUGUGGAAAUAGCAGUAACAAAGCCAGGCAAAAUCACUGCCCUUAAGAAGCUUAUAAUCUGAAGACAUCACAGUGCGCAUAAAGAAUGAAACCAGGCCGGGUGCGGUGGCUGACGCCUGUAAUCCCAUCACUUUGGGAGGCCGAGGGGGGUAGAUCACUUAAGGGCAGGAGUUCUAGACCAGCCUGGCCAACAUGGUGAAACCCCGUCUCUACUAAAAAUACAAAAACUAGCCGGGCGUGGUGGCGGGUGCCUGUAGUCCCAGCUACUCGGGAGGUGAGACAGGAGAACGGCGUGAACCCGGGAGGGGGAGGUUGGAAUGAGCCGAGAUCGCGCCACUGCACUCCAGCCUGGGUGACAGAGCGAGACUCCGUCUCAAAAAAAAAAAAAAAAAAGAAAGAGAAAAAAGAAAGAGAGAGACAGAGAAGGAAGGAAGGAAGGAAGGAAGAAACCACAAGAAGUGUGAGUAGAAACACAGGCCCUGAAGUCAGCCUCUCUAGGUUUGAAUCCUAGCUCCCAGCAAGGACUCUGAGACCUUGUGCAAGUAAUAUGAAUGUCUCUGUGGCUCAUUUUCUCCCAUUAUACAGUGAAGAAAAUAGGAUUAGGUUUAUAGGGUGGUUGUUCUGAAUAUUUAAUGAGAUAAUAGAGGAAUAAUUUAGUGGAGCUCCUAUUAAAUGAUAAAUGCUUUAAAAAAGUUAGCUAUUAUUGUUAUUAAAGAAAGGUGAUAUUCUUAUUCUCAAGAAUGAGACACUCUAAUAAAUAGUUUGUGUAUUUUAUUUUAUUCCACUUGAUUUUCCAAACAACUUAAUGAUGUAGGUAUUGUUAUUCUUAUUUUAUGGGCAAGAAUACAAAGAUUUUUAAAUAACAUAAUUAUGGUCACAUAAUAAAUGGAGUCAGAAUUUGAAUCCAGGUCUAUUUCUUCCCAAAAGUCAUACUCCUUCAGCUAGUCAAUCCUGAUUUAAUAAAUUAUUGAAUUCAAAGGCAAUAAACCCUUCUCUUCAUUUUUAAAAUUCUUGCCUGAAAUGAGAUAUUUCAAUUCAUAUUUAUCCUUUUCUUUCUUCUUGUGCUGUCUUUACUCUUUCUUUUCAUACCCAUUUGAUUUAGUGUUAUGAUGAGAUGGGUAAGUAUUUUCUUCUCAACCUGCAAAUUAACUUCUUAAGGCAAAAUUUCAUCCAUCUUUUUUUUUUUCCUUAUGUUGUUCUGCAAUACAAAUAGCUCAAAAUAGAGCUUGGCACUUAUUAACGGCUCAGAAAAUUAGCUUUUAUUAUAAGUGUUAUUAGUCUUUAUCUUUAUCGACUCUUUUAAAACAUCUACCUGACAACAUUUUGAUAUUUCUAGUCCUAAAUUAAAUUUCUCCUUGCUGUUAUCCAAAUGUUCACGCUUUUGAAAUAAAUUGCUCUUCUC